rnacentral:rRNA from 1 species
AGUCGAGCAGGGUCGAAAGACGGACUUAGUGAUCCGGUGGUUCCGCAUGGAAGGGCCAUCGCUCAACGGAUAAAAGCUACCCCGGGGAUAACAGGCUUAUCUCCCCCAAGAGUUCACAUCGACGGGGAGGUUUGGCACCUCGAUGUCGGCUCAUCGCAUCCUGGGGCUGUAGUCGGUCCCAAGGGUUGGGCUGUUCGCCCAUUAAAGCGGUACGCGAGCUGGGUUCAGAACGUCGUGAGACAGUUCGGUCCCUAUCCGUCGUGGGCGUAGGAAAUUUGAGAGGAGCUGUCCUUAGUACGAGAGGACCGGGAUGGACAUACCUCUGGUGUACCAGUUGUCGUGCCAACGGCAUAGCUGGGUAGCUAUGUGUGGACGGGAUAAGUGCUGAAAGCAUCUAAGCAUGAAGCCCCCCUCAAGAUGAGAUUUCCCAACUUCGGUUAUAAGAUCCCUCAAAGAUGAUGAGGUUAAUAGGUUCGAGGUGGAAG